CCAGACAGCCAGGAUGUUGGCUUAGAAGCAGCCAUCAUUUAAAGAAAGCGUAAUAGCUCACUGGUCGAGUCGGCCUGCGCGGAAGAUGUAACGGGGCUAAACCAUGCACCGAAGCUGCGGCAGCGACACUGUGUGUUGUUGGGUAGGGGAGCGUUCUGUAAGCCUGCGAAGGUGGCCUGUGAGGGUUGCUGGAGGUAUCAGAAGUGCGAAUGCUGACAUAAGUAACGAUAAAGCGGGUGAAAAGCCCGCUCGCCGGAAGACCAAGGGUUCCUGUCCAACGUUAAUCGGGGCAGGGUGAGUCGACCCCUAAGGCGAGGCCGAAAGGCGUAGUCGAUGGGAAACGGGUUAAUAUUCCCGUACUUGGUGUUACUGCGAAGGGGGGACGGAGAAGGCUAUGUUGGCCGGGCGACGGUUGUCCCGGUUUAAGCGUGUAGGCUGGUUUUCCAGGCAAAUCCGGAAAAUCAAGGCUGAGGCGUGAUGACGAGGCACUACGGUGCUGAAGCAACAAAUGCCCUGCUUCCAGGAAAAGCCUCUAAGCAUCAGGUAACAUCAAAUCGUACCCCAAACCGACACAGGUGGUCAGGUAGAGAAUACCAAGGCGCUUGA
rnacentral:rRNA from 1 species